ensembl:lncRNA
GUUUCGUUGAAGGGCGUGUCUGUGGCGGCCCUACAAAUUUCGAUGCUUCGCCAUGAGAAAGGAAGUUGCUAUAACUCAGACAUACAAUGUCCAAUCUGCCCCAAACUUCACAUGUUUGAGAAGGCUCCUGACCUGAACAUAUCUACAUGCCCAUAUUCAGAUAUCGUUAUAGCGCCACCUGCUUGCAACAGGAAGUGACAUGUCUUAAGCUGUAACGAACUACUCCUAGAAAUUUUAUGACACUUUAUAAUUUUUUUUGGUCAGUCUAAUCUAAAGGCCUUUGCGAUGUUAAAUUGUGAACAUCUUGAGUUUUCAUUAAAGGGUGUGGCCAUGGCGCCAUGACAAAGUUCGAUGUCUCGCCAUGGGAAUAGAAGUUGUUGUAACUCAGGCAUAAGAUGUCCGAUCUUCCCCAAACUUCACAUGUUCGAAAAGAGUCUUGGCCUGAACACAUCUGAAGGUCAUUUUUCCACUAUAAUCAUAGCGCCACCUGCUGACAACAGAAAAUGGCUUGUUUUACACUAACUUAAACAUGCAAUGUCCAAUCUGCACCAAACUUCAGAUAUUUGAUAAGAAUCAUGGCCUGAAGAUAUCUAAAGGCCAAUGUUCA